rnacentral:rRNA from 1 species
GCACAAGCGGUGGAGCAUGUGGUUUAAUUCGACGCAACGCGCAGAACCUUACCAGCCCUUGACAUGUCCGGGACCGGUCGCAGAGACGUGACCUUCUCUUCGGAGCCCGGAACACAGGUGCUGCAUGGCUGUCGUCAGCUCGUGUCGUGAGAUGUUGGGUUAAGUCCCGCAACGAGCGCAACCCCCGUCCUUAGUUGCUACCAUUUAGUUGAGCACUCUAAGGAGACUGCCGGUGAUAAGCCGCGAGGAAGGUGGGGAUGACGUCAAGUCCUCAUGGCCCUUACGGGCUGGGCUACACACGUGCUACAAUGGCGGUGACAAUGGGAUGCUAAGGSGYRASCCYUSGCAAAUCUCAAAAAGCCGUCUCAGUUCGGAUUGGGCUCUGCAACUCGAGCCCAUGAAGUUGGAAUCGCUAGUAAUCGUGGAUCAGCACGCCACGGUGAAUACGUUCCCGGGC